UGACAAUAGGAUGAUGGUCUUAGCCUCA
rnacentral:piRNA from 1 species